GUGGGGAAUCUUGCGCAAUGGGCGAAAGCCUGACGCAGCCAUGCCGCGUGAAUGAUGAAGGUCUUAGGAUUGUAAAAUUCUUUCACCGGGGACGAUAAUGACGGUACCCGGAGAAGAAGCCCCGGCUAACUUCGUGCCAGCAGCCGCGGUAAUACGAAGGGGGCUAGCGUUGCUCGGAAUUACUGGGCGUAAAGGGCGCGUAGGCGGACAGUUUAGUCAGAGGUGAAAGCCCAGGGCUCAACCUUGGAAUUGCCUUUGAUACUGUCUGUCUUGAGUUUGGGAGAGGUGAGUGGAACUCCGAGUGUAGAGGUGAAAUUCGUAGAUAUUCGGAAGAACACCAGUGGCGAAGGCGACUCACUGGCCCAAUACUGACGCUGAGGCGCGAAAGCGUGGGGAGCAAACAGGAUUAGAUACCCUGGUAGUCC
rnacentral:rRNA from 1 species